CCUACGGAGGGGCAGCAGUGAGGAACAUUGGUCAAUGGGCGCGAGCCUGAACCAGCCAAGUAGCGUGAAGGAUGACUGCCCUACGGGUUGUAAACUUCUUUUAUAAAGGAAUAAAGUGAGGCACGUGUGCCUUUUUGUAUGUACUUUAUGAAUAAGGAUCGGCUAACUCCGUGCCAGCAGCCGCGGUAAUACGGAGGAUCCGAGCGUUAUCCGGAUUUAUUGGGUUUAAAGGUAGCGUAGAUGGGUUGUUAAGUCAGUUGUGAAAGUUUGCGGCUCAACCGUAAAAUUGCAAUUGAGACUGUCAGCCUUGAUUACAGUUGAGGUAGGCGGAAUUCGUGGUGUAGCGGGGAAAUGCUGAGAUAUCACGAAGAACUCCGAUUGCGAAGGCAGCUUACUAAACUGCCACUGACAUUGAUGCUCGAAAGUGUGGGUAUCAAACAGGAUUAGAUACCCCAGUAGUC
rnacentral:rRNA from 1 species